rnacentral:lncRNA from 1 species
AAGAUGAGAAUCAAACAAAAAUUCAAAGUUCAGGUAAGCAAACUAAAGCUAUCAAAUACCAAAUCACUGAUUAAAAAAAUAGAUCAGACCGCAAUUUGGCAUGGCUAAACCAAGCAUCUUCAAAUCUCCAACAUGUAUAAACACAAGAGCACAACAGAGUCAAAGUAACGGAAAUCUAAAAAAGUUAAGAAAAAUAGGGAAAAAAGAUAUGAACCAAAAAAUGCAGCUUUCGAAUAAACUCAUUUGGGGUUACAAGUGAUCCAAAUGCUACAACAGUAAGCAACAAAGCAGAAAAUCGAAUCAAGAAACACGAACACGAACACCUCGAGACGACACGAUCUCGCACAUCUCCAGCCUUUGAACCGAAAUUCAGGAUUCGAACUAGCUUCGUUGUCCAAAUUUGAAAACUAACUCACACCAACGGAAAUCCAGAAUAAAGAGAAAUAAUUAUAUAUUUUUUAAGUUUUUCUGAUUUUUGGAAAACCAAACCAAGCGAAAACAGAACUGAAUAUAUUUUUUUGGUUUUUUUUUUCUGAUUCUCGAAAUGAAGCAAGGACUGAACAAAAAUGAACUCAAACUAUUUUGUUUUUUCUUUUUCCUGAAUUCGGACUCAACUAAAAUUCGACCAAAAAUGAGAAGAAAAGAAGCAACCUAUGUUCGAACCGUAAUCUCUUUUCAAUCCCCGAUUUUUCUCUCCAAAAGCCCCCUCAUUCUGUCUGAAAACCCCAAUAUUAUAGCCCUCUAGAAUCUUCUUCUCCUCUUCUCCAAGAAAGCCUUAAAAACCCCGAAUUUUCCCUCUCCUUUAGCUUAUCCUAGACAAAUGGAAGGCUAGGGUCAAUUUCGAAUUAAUCCUACGUCUCCCCUUCGUCUAGCACGUGCUUGAGAGGGAUUUUUUUAUGGUUCAGAUUGGGUUGGGGAGGGAGCGCGUCAAAAAAAUCUGAGUUGGUUAGGAUUUAGGGUGAUAUGAAAGGGGGGACCAGCAAAGGGGGACCAUGUAAUGAUUGGAGGAAUUUUCCGGUGGGUUAGGGUGGUAGGCGACGGUAGAGGGGCGGAGAAGGGGGGAGGGCAUCGUUUUUUGGUUGGGUCUUUUUUUUUUUUUUUUUUUAAUUGAAAUUGGCUUCUAUUGAUAUAACAAAUAUACAUAUGAGUGUUCUUAAUGGUAGUAUCGACUAACUACCAUUGCUAAUACAAUCAACUAAUGUAACUAGCUAAAUCUAUUCUAACAAGUAGUAAACUAAGGAUAAUUGUUGAGAAUUCUAAGUCUUUUCAUCCAUUUCUUGCAACUUCUACCACGAGCAUGAAUAAGGAGGGCAAUCUCACGGCAUAAAUGAUCUUCAUCAAAAUGUUUCCUCUCAAAUCUAAUAUCAUUCCUGCAUCUCCAAAUCAA